GAAACUCUGAUCUGGUCUUGGGCUCUGGUGGAGGAGGGCUGUCCACUGUCAUUACUUCUAUGACUAGAAGGGACUUCGUUCACUGUGAGAGGCAAUAUAAAAGUCUCACAGGUCAGACAAUUGCUUCUGAAAUAUGACACGUGAAAGACUGGAAACGGAGGCUAUGGAUGUUGUUUUGACCUGACUUGGAGA